GACGAACGCUGGCGGCGUGCUUAACACAUGCAAGUCGAACGGAAAGGCCCUGCUUUUGUGGGGUGCUCGAGUGGCGAACGGGUGAGUAACACGUGAGUAACCUGCCCUUGACUUUGGGAUAACUUCAGGAAACUGGGGCUAAUACCGGAUAGGAGCUCCUGCUGCAUGGUGGGGGUUGGAAAGUUUCGGCGGUUGGGGAUGGACUCGCGGCUUAUCAGCUUGUUGGUGGGGUAGUGGCUUACCAAGGCUUUGACGGGUAGUCGGCCUGAGAGGGCGACCGGCCACAUUGGGACUGAGAUACGGCCCAGACUCCUACGGGAGGCAGCAGUGGGGAAUAUUGCACAAUGGGCGGAAGCCUGAUGCAGCAACGCCGCGUGCGGGAUGACGGCCUUCGGGUUGUAAACCGCUUUCGCCUGUGACGAAGCGUGAGUGACGGUAAUGGGUAAAGAAGCACCGGCUAACUACGUG
rnacentral:rRNA from 1 species